UGAUCUUGGUAUAAUCUAUUUGAAUUUAUUAUAAAUUUUAUAGGUUAAUUAAAUUGCUAGCAUAUAGAUUAACCCAAGUUUUCAAUUAAAUUUGGUGCAAAAGUAUUUGUGCUAACCCUAGUCCUAUUGCCUUAAACCUAAUCAGAUUAGGUUUGAUCUUUUGAUUUUUUACCUGAUCACUUGCAAGUGUUUCAUAUGAACAAGGUAUCCUCCACACCACCCACCAGAUUCUCCAUGCAAAUUAUUAAGGGAUGCCCAAAAUGGAUAAGUAGAG
rnacentral:lncRNA from 1 species